GGUUCGGUGGUGUAGUUGGUUUAUCACGUCAGUCUAACAUCCUCUCUUCUCAGAGCCGAGUUCACUGAAGGUCGGGAGUUCGAGCCUCCCCUGAAUCA